rnacentral:rRNA from 2 species
UACGAAGGGGGCUAGCGUUGCUCGGAUUUACUGGGCGUAAAGGGCGCGUAGGCGGACAGUUUAGUCAGAGGUGAAAGCCCGGGGCUCAACCCCGGAAUUGCCUUUGAUACUGGCUGUCUUGAGUUUGGGAGAGGUAUGCGGAACUCCGAGUGUAGAGGUGAAAUUCGUAGAUAUUCGGAAGAACACCAGUGGCGAAGGCGGCAUACUGGCCCAAUACUGACGCUGAGGCGCGAAAGCGUGGGGAGCAAACAGG